UUUCCGUAGGUGAACCUGCGGAAGGAUCAUUAAAAAUUGGACUCCAUUGGUGAGUUCAUUAAUAAUCCCUACCCUUUGUGAAUUUGUUUGUUUGAAUAAUUUUUUUUCCAAAAAAAAUUAUUGAAUGUCUUUCCUUGUUUUGGUGGAGCUUGUAAAGUGAAACCAGGCAGGGGAAUGGCAAACAAUAAUUAUUUUUGAAGAAGACCUUUUUUUAAAAUUAAACUUUUUGUAUUCAUUUGUCUAAAAUUAAUUUUUAUAAUAUAAAAACAACUUUUGACAAUGGAUCUCUUGGUUCUCGCAACGAUGAAGAACGCAGCAAAAUGCGAUAAGUAGUGUGAAUUGCAGAAUACGUGAAUCAUCGAAUCUUCGAACGCAUAUUGCACUUUUUUAGUUUACUAAAAAAGUAUGUCUGUUUGAGUAUCAGUAAAAUAUUCUCAUAAAAAACAUUGUUUUUUUUAUGGUUAUGAGUGUUUUACAACGAUAACAAGUUGUUUCACUUUAAAUUCUUUGUUAUCAAAAAAAUCAUUAAAAGCUAAUUUUAAAGAUUUUUUAAAAUUGGAUAAAAUUUUCCCGUAAAAAGGAAUAACCUAAACAAUUUUAAAAAAUUAAAAUUGGUUUGAUUUUUUUGAAACCCAAAGGAAAAAAAACGAAAUUAACUUGAUCUCAAAUCAGAUAAGAGUACCCGCUGAACUUAAGCAUAUCAAUAAGCGGAGGAAAAGAAACUAACUAGGAUUCCCUCAGUAACGGCGAGUGAAGCGGGAAGAGCUCAAAUUUGAAAUCUUCAAGGUUUUACCUUGACGAAUUGUAGUUUAAAGAAGUGUUUUCUGUUGGAGUUUUGGUAAAAGUUCUUUGGAAAAGGACAUCAUGGAGGGUGAGAAUCCCGUAUUUGACCAUUAUCUCCAGCUUUGUGAUACACUUUCAAAGAGUCGGAUUGUUUGGGAAUGCAGUCCAAAAUGGGUGGUAAAUUUCACCUAAAGCUAAAUACUGGCGAGAGACCGAUAGCGAACAAGUACCGUGAGGGAAAGAUGAAAAGAACUUUGAAAAGAGAGUUAAACAGUACGUGAAAUUGUCAAAAGGGAAGCGUUUGACACCAGUGUUGUUUUCUCGAAAAUCAAUUAAAAAAGGCCGGAUUUUGUGUUGUAUUGACUUUAUCAGCUUUCUGCACUCUUUCUUGUCUUUUUUAAUGCAUUUUUCGUUUAACAAGUCAACAUCAAUUUCUUUUGUUGUAAAAGGGUCAUCGGAAGGUGGCUUUCUUUUCGGAGAAAGUGUUUAUAGCCUUUGGCCUCUGCAAUCGGAGAGAUUGAGGCUGCAGCGUAGAUCCUUCGGGGUUAGAUACAUUUGUGCUAAGUUAUAGCCUUUCAUAGACAACUUGUUGACUAUGAUCAGUCAUGUAGCUUACUCGCUUAUGCUAUUU
rnacentral:misc_RNA from 1 species